CGAGACAGAGCCUUCAUCUUCUUCCUCCAUCACCGUCGUCGUCGCCAGUAUUACCAUCUUCGCUCAUGGUCUUACCAUCUUUGCUCAUGGCCGGUCUUCCUCCAUCUUUAUCUUCUGUGGCUCUUCUCGUGAGAAGGCAAGAUCCUCUUUCCUUUUUCUUCGAGCACCAAAGCCUCCUCCGACGAUUCCUUCCUUCGACGGCC
rnacentral:lncRNA from 1 species